rnacentral:rRNA from 1 species
CGGUCUGGCGGCGAGUGGCGAACGGGUGAGUAAUGUAUCGGAACGUGCCCAGUAGCGGGGGAUAACUACUCGAAAGAGUAGCUAAUACCGCAUACGCCCUACGGGGGAAAGGGGGGGAUCUUAGGACCUCUCACUAUUGGAGCGGCCGAUAUCGGAUUAGCUAGUUGGUGGGGUAAAGGCUCACCAAGGCGACGAUCCGUAGCUGGUUUGAGAGGACGACCAGCCACACUGGGACUGAGACACGGCCCAGACUCCUACGGGAGGCAGCAGUGGGGAAUUUUGGACAAUGGGGGCAACCCUGAUCCAGCCAUCCCGCGUGUGCGAUGAAGGCCUUCGGGUUGUAAAACACUUUUGGCAGGAAAGAAUCGCACGGAAUAAUACUCUGUGUGGAUGACGGUACCUGCAGAAUAAGCACCGGCUAACUACGUGCCAGCAGCCGCGGUAUACGUAGGGUGCAAGCGUUAAUCGGAAUUACUGGGCGUAAAGCGUGCGCAGGCGGUUCGAAAAGAAAGAUGUGAAACCCCAGGGCUUAACCUUGGAACUGCAUUUUUAACUCUCGAACUAGAGUGCGUCAGAGGGGGGUGGAAUUCCGCGUGUAGCAGUGAAAUGCGUAGAUAUGCGGAGGAACACCGAUGGCGAAGGCAGCCCCCUGGGAUGACACUGACGCUCAUGCACGAAAGCGUGGGGAGCAAACAGGAUU